GCAAGCGUUGUUCGGAAUUACUGGGCGUAAAGGGUUCGUAGGUGGCCUGCUAAGUCAAACGUGAAAUCCCUCAGCUUAACUGGGGAACUGCGUCUGAGACUGGUGGGCUUGAGUGCAGGAGAGGAACGCGGAAUUCCAGGUGUAGCGGUGAAAUGCGUAGAUAUCAGGAGGAACACCGGUGGCGAAGGCGGCUUUCUGGACAGAUACCGACGCUGAGGCACGAAAGCUAGGGGAGCAAACAGG
rnacentral:rRNA from 1 species